GAUGAAGAACGUAGCGAAAUGCGAUACGUAAUGUGAAUUGCAGAAUUCAGUGAAUCAUCGAGUCUUUGAACGCAAGUUGCGCCCGAAGCCAUUAGGCCGAGGGCACGCCUGCCUGGGCGUCACACGUCGUUGCCCCCCCAUCUACUCCUUCGGGAUUGCGGGGGGCGGAUGAUGGCCUCCCGUGCGCCUCGUCGCGCGGUUGGCAUAAAUGCCAAGUCCUCGGCGACGCACGCCACGACAAUCGGUGGUUGCGAAACCUCGGUUGCCCGUCGUGUGCGGUCGUCGCGCAUCGAGGGCUCGAAAAAAUUGCCGGGCUCCGGCUCGACUUUCAACGCGACCCCAGGUCAGGCGGGGUUACCCGCUGAAUUUAAGCAUAUCAAUAAGCGGAGGA
rnacentral:misc_RNA from 1 species